rnacentral:lncRNA from 1 species
UAAGGUGUAAAUAUCUGAUAUAUUAGGAAAUUUUGUUAUUGGAUCUGAAACAAUUUUCACACCAUUAGCGGUUGAAACAUACCUCUUUAGGUAUUUUGAGGUAUUUACUAUUAACUAAAUUUAGGAAGUUUUUAGGUUCACUCUAAGUGCAGUAAAUAUUACAGACAUUGGAUACAGUGGGAUUUUCUGUAGAUUUUACUUAAGAAGAGGUGAGUAUAAAGCAAUUUGCAGUCAUUAUUGUAAUGACAAUACUGUUCAAGUGCAAACCCAAAACAGUGCAGCUUUUAAAUUUUAAAGCAUUUGGUAAACUGUUGCUGUUUUUUUCUGUUGCCAAUAGCAAACUGCUUUUCCAUUAAUGGAGACUUCAUGCCUUUCAAGCAUUUUAAAUAUGACAAUAUUUAUAAAUGUGUGAUUUGGAGGAAUUCUUUAAAUUCUUUUUCUUAAUUUCCUUUCUCUUCAGAAUAGAUUCUUUCAACAAGUAAUUUGUAGUAAUGACUGUGUUGACUUCAAUGUUUUGGAGUGUAGUAGCUAUGUUAAAGAUUAACUAUUUGGUCUUAUUGAAGCCAACACAGAACUUGCUGCUGUGUUUUUUCUUCAGUGAUAAAUAAAAUACUUACAGAAU